rnacentral:rRNA from 1 species
UGGGGAAUUUUGGACAAUGGGCGAAAGCCUGAUCCAGCAAUGCCGCGUGUGUGAAGAAGGCCUUCGGGUUGUAAAGCACUUUUGUCCGGAAAGAAAUGGCUCUGGUUAAUACCUGGGGUCGAUGACGGUACCGGAAGAAUAAGGACCGGCUAACUACGUGCCAGCAGCCGCGGUAAUACGUAGGGUCCAAGCGUUAAUCGGAAUUACUGGGCGUAAAGCGUGCGCAGGCGGUUGUGCAAGACCGAUGUGAAAUCCCCGAGCUUAACUUGGGAAUUGCAUUGGUGACUGCACGGCUAGAGUGUGUCAGAGGGGGGUAGAAUUCCACGUGUAGCAGUGAAAUGCGUAGAGAUGUGGAGGAAUACCGAUGGCGAAGGCAGCCCCCUGGGAUAACACUUACGCUCAUGCACGAAAGCGUGGGGAGCAAACAGG